CACAGUGCUCCUCCAGCUUCAGUCAAGGGAAGGUCUCGCGGCGUACUCCACACAUUCCUUUUAUAUAAAUAACAUUCCAAACAUGCCUGAAGAAACUAUGGAAGAUGUGGAGACCUUCGCCUUCCAGGCGGAGAUCGCCCAGUUAAUGUCCCUCAUCAUCAACACCUUCUACAGCAACAAAGAAAUCUUCCUGCGAGAGAUCAUCUCCAACGCCUCCGAUGCUCUGGACAAGAUCCGCUUUGAGUCUCUGACGGAUCCCUCCAAGCUGGAUUCUGGCAAGGAUCUCUUCAUCAAGUUGGUGCCCAACAAGAAUGAUCGCACACUCACUAUUAUUGACAGUGGUAUUGGCAUGACCAAGGCUGAUUUGGUCAACAACUUGGGAACCAUUGCCAAGUCGGGCACCAAGGCCUUCAUGGAAGCUCUCCAGGCUGGGGCUGACAUCUCCAUGAUUGGUCAGUUUGGUGUGGGUUUCUACUCUGCCUACUUGGUGGCAGACAAGGUUACUGUCAUCUCAAAGAACAAUGAUGAUGAACAGUACAUCUGGGAGUCUUCUGCAGGUGGCUCCUUUACUGUCAGGACAGAUACUGAGGGAGUUAUUGGAGAACCACUUGGCCGUGGCACCAAGAUCACCCUCCACCUGAAGGAGGACCAGACAGAGUACCUGGAGGAGAGGCGCAUCAAGGAGAUCGUCAAGAAACACUCGCAGUUCAUUGGCUAUCCCAUCAAGCUGUUGGUUGAGAAGGAGAGGGACAAGGAAGUGUCUGAUGAUGAAGAGGAAGAAAAGGAGGAGGAGAAGAAGGAUGAAGAUGAAGAGAAGCCCAAGAUAGAAGAUGUGGGUGAGGAUGAGGAAGCUGAUAAGAAGGAAGAAGGGAAGAAGAAGAAGACUGUGAAGGAGAAGUACACAGAGGAUGAAGAACUGAACAAGACCAAGCCUCUGUGGACCCGUAACCCUGACGACAUCUCUCAGGAGGAGUAUGGAGAGUUUUACAAGUCCCUCACCAACGACUGGGAGGACCACUUGGCCGCUAAGCACUUCAGCGUCGAGGGUCAGCUCGAGUUCCGUGCCCUUCUCUUCUUGCCUCGUAGAGCUCCAUUUGACCUGUUCGAGAACCGCAAGCAGAAGAACAAGAUCAAGCUGUACGCGGCGUCGCGUGUUCAUCAUGGAGAACUGCGAGGAGCUCAUUCCAGAGUACCUGAACUUCCUCAACGGAGUCGUUGACUCUGAGGAUCUGCCCCUGAACAUCUCCCGCGAGAUGCUGCAGCAGAACAAGAUCUUGAAGGUGAUCCGCAAGAACCUGGUGAAGAAGGCCCUGGAGUUGUUUGAGGAACUGAUUGAAGAUAAGGAGAACUACAAGAAGUUCUACGAGAACUUCUCCAAGAACAUCAAGUUGGGCAUCCACGAAGACUCCACCAACCGCAAGAAACUGGCGAAGUUCCUCCGCUACCACACCUCCGCCUCUGGUGACGACAUCUGCUCCCUGAAGGACUACACCUCCCGCAUGAAGGAGAACCAGAAGCACAUCUACUACAUCACCGGGAGACCAUGAACAGGUCCACAACUCUGCCUUUGUUGAGAGGGUCAAGAAACGUGGCUUUGAGGUGAUAUGACUGACCGAGCCCAUCGACGAGUACUGUGUCCAGCAGCUGAAGGAGUACGACGGCAAGCAGCUGGUGUCUGUCACUAAGGAAGGUCUCGAGCUGCCAGAGGAUGAGGACGAGAAGAAGAAGUAUGAAGAACAGAAGACAAAGUUGGAGACUCUUUGUAAGGUGGUGAAGGACAUCCUGGACAAGCGUGUGGAGAAGGUGGUGGUGAGCAACCUUGGUGACCUCUCCCUGUUGUAUAGUGACGUCACAGAUGGGUGGACGGCCAACAUGGAACGCAUCAUGAAGGCCCAGGCACUAAGAGACACCUCCACCAUGGGUUAUAUGGCAGCCAAGAAACACCUGGAGAUUAAUCCUGACCACAGUAUCAUUGAGACCUUGAGACAGAGGGCAGAUGCUGACAAGAAUGAUAAGUCUGUCAAGGAUCUGGUCAUGUUGCUGUUCGAGAGUGCCCUUCUGUCCUCGGGCUUCACACUCGAGGAUCCCGGCGUUCAUGCUGGCAGGAUCUACAGGAUGAUCAAACUAGGUCUGGGUAUAGAGGAGGACGAUGCCCCAGCCGAGGAGACGCGAGAAAGCUAGAGAAGGAGGAGAUGCCACCCUGAGACGGCGAGGAAGACACAUCGCGUAUGGAGGAAGUGGACUAAACUGUGAAGAUCUCAUAACCUAACCCCCACCAUUAUCCCCCAAAGUUCAUCUCAUAUCACAGGAUCUGCAAGUUUCUCAUUGAACUUCUGUUAACUUUCCUUCAUUAUUCAUUUGUAUCACAAUUAUCAUUCCAUUCUUUUGACCUAAGGCUAAUUUAGUUUUUCCAUCAAGAUAUAUUUGGUCAGUAAUGUUUCAUAGUGUUGGGCUCACUCACACAUGGUACUCCUACAACACACAUAAACUGGUUAUAGCAACAUACUCUGCCAGGAUAUUACAACACUUCACAUCAUCUCUGGCAGGUUGUUACAACUUAAUUUAUGUUAUCACAACUUCUCCGUUAUAUUUUGGCCGACAGUUUGUGUACUGAAAGCUUGUAAAACUAUAGGCUGUGAGCUUGAGCAAGGUGAAUUCUACCCCCAACUAUGAACAUCUGAACAGGAGUAUAGUAUUGCCCUCAGAGGAGACUUUAAAAGCUAUUAGUCUCUUACACUCUACAAGACCUAAUUAUUUCUCUUGUCCUGUACGGUAAUUUGAUUUCCUAGAGACGUAAAUUUGUGAAUAGUCUUGUUGCCCCUGUAAGGUGUAUUGCUUUUAGAGGUAUAAAUUUUUGUAGCCUCUCGCCCCUGUACAGCUACAGUAUUUGAUUUUCUGGAGAUGUAAAUUUGUGACAUCUCUUGCCCAAGUAAAAUAUGCGUUGAGAUGCAUAAAUUUGUUGUAGUCUCGCAUGUAAAAUAAUUACCUAGUCUACAGAAAGCCAAAGGGAAUAGAGAGCAGGGGCAGGUCCAGGUCUAUCAAAGGGAUAAAAAUUGUAGUUAGCGAACAUGGUAAUUCCCCUCCUGCUGGGCAUUUUGAAGGCCAGUACACUUAAUGUUGGCAAUUAUUGUGGUCACUAAUUACUAUACAAUACUGCAUUAAAGAAAGAGUAUCGGGAUAUUCCAACGCCCUGGAUCUGUCCCCGAGAAGUUCCUCCCAAGUUCUCAUUCCAGUGUUUAACUAAGCAUUCCAGUCAUUCUAAAUUUCAUUACUCCUCUUUUGCUGAAGAAAGGAAACCUUAUGUUAGAUGUAUAUGUAAAUAUUAUUUUAGGGAAGCGAAAGUUACGUUUUCUAAUAAAAGUAUCAAAGAAUUUA